rnacentral:rRNA from 1 species
AGUGAACGCUGGCGGUAGGCCUAACACAUGCAAGUCGAACAGCAGCACAGUAAGAGCUUGCUCUUACGGGUGGCGAGUGGCGGACGGGUGAGGAAUACAUCGGAAUCUACUUUUUCGUGGGGGAUAACGUAGGGAAACUUACGCUAAUACCGCAUACGACCUACGGGUGAAAGCAGGGGAUCUUCGGACCUUGCGCGAUUGAAUGAGCCGAUGUCGGAUUAGCUAGUUGGCGGGGUAAAGGCCCACCAAGGCGACGAUCCGUAGCUGGUCUGAGAGGAUGAUCAGCCACACUGGAACUGGGACACGGUCCAGACUCCUACGGGAGGCAGCAGUGGGGAAUAUUGGACAAUGGGCGCAAGCCUGAUCCAGCAAUACCGCGUGGGUGAAGAAGGCCUUCGGGUUGUAAAGCCCUUUUGUUGGGAAAGAAAAGCAGCAGGUUAAUACCCCGCUGUUCUGACGGUACCCAAAGAAUAAGCACCGGCUAACUUCGUG